AUUGAACGCUGGCGGCAGGCCUAACACAUGCAAGUCGAGCGCGCGGCGGCCGGGUGAGUAAUGUAUGGGGACUGCCCGAUAGAGGGGGAUAACUACUGGAUACGGUAGCUAAUACCGCAUACUAUCGGAUAACCCAUAUGGGAUUAGCUAGUAGGUGAGGUAUUGGCUCACCAAGGCAACGCUCCCUAGCUGGUCUGAGAGGAUGAUCAGCCACACUGUGACUGAGAAAAGGCCCAGACUGCUAGGGAGGCAGCAGUGGGGAAUAUUGCACGAUGGGCGCAAGCCAGAUGCAGCCAUGCCGCGUGUAUGAAGAAGGCCCUAGGGUUGGAAAGUACUUUCAGUCGGGAGGCGUUACCGACGGAAGAAGCACCGGCUAACACCGUACCAGCAGCCGCGGUAAUAC
rnacentral:rRNA from 1 species